rnacentral:tRNA from 1 species
GGGUCGGUGGUCUAGCUUGGCAUGACGCUUGGUUUGGGUCCAAGAGGUCGUGAGUUCAAAUCUCACCCGGCCCACCA